rnacentral:lncRNA from 1 species
GUUGUAUCAGUCCUCUGAGCAUCACUGAACAUUUCAAGACGAGUUGUUUGUGAAGCAUGAUCCCAGCAGAUCCUCCACAAGAACAAAAAGAGGGGAAGCAAUUGUUUUUCAGGCUCAGUGAAGAUAAGUGUGUGCUUUCCCAAGGAGGAUUUCCUUGAAGUCUCGCCUUGCUUGGCUGCGUUCGUACAGAAACGUUGGACAACCUCAGAAUGGGAUGCAUAAUGCAUGAGUUUAACAGCUCCCCGCGCUAAACUGGGAUUACAAAACUGCGUAUGGGUAUCCAGUUUGCCACAAAAUGUACAUUACCAAUGAACACAAGACAACGUACUUUGGCAGAUCUGACUUGCUCUCCGUCAGUUUCAAAAGGAACAAGCUUCAGCCCAGGGCCCAUCUUGCUGCAGCCAGCUCGUUGCUCAGGAGCUGUAAUCCCUUCCUUUGACUCUCCCCCAGCUGGAGUGCCCCAGUUUCAAACACCACAGGUGGAAGUCUUGGCCCUCACCAGUCAUCGUGUUGCAGAAAUCCCCGUGUCCCUUUGGGAAGUCGGGGUGGGGAUGAGCGAAGUGGUCCUCCGGGAAAUCCCUGCAGAACAUCGUGCUGCAGGCAACUCAGGUGAUUCCCUCUUCCCACCUCCCCUUGCCUCUCCUUUUCCAGCCAGGAUACAUGAUUUUACCAACAAAUUGUUCCUAAUUCUAUUUAUUUUGUAUUUUUAA